GGGAAGCGGUGGGACUUUCAGAUCCUGGUGCAUGAUGGAAUGAAUAGUGGAGGAGGACCUAGGCUGGGGCUUUAAAAAGCAAGUAUCAGAAGCAGUAGCAGAUAUGCUCCAUAUGAUUCACUUUAAUUAAGUGGAUACAACACUGUUGCUUGUGGACAUAUAAUAGAGAAGAGGAGGAACAUUCCAGCACCAUUCACCAUCCUUGGAUCGCCCCAGUGCAAUCUUGAUGAUCCUGUGUGGAGCCUGGACUUGAACCCAGGACCUUGUACAUGACAAAAUAAAUGCAACCAGGUGAGUUAUCUCCCAAACACCUUAGAAUAUUUUUUUAAUAUUUAUUUUAUUUAUUCCCUUUUGUUGCCCUUGUUGUUUUUUUAUUGUUGUAGUUAUUAUUGUUGUUGUCGUUGUUGGAUAGGACAGAGAGAAAUGGAGAGAGGAGGGGAAGACAGAGAGGAGGAGAGAAAGACAGACACCUGCAGACCUGCUUCACCGCCUGUGAAGUGACUCCCCUGCAGGCCACCUUAGAAUAAUUUUUUUUUUAGAAAUUUAUUUUAUUUUAUUUAUUUAUUCCCUUUUGUUGCCCUUGUUGUUUUAUUGUUGUAGUUAUUAUUGUUGUUGUCGUUGUUGGAUAGGACAGAGAGAAAUGGAGAGAGGAGGGGAAGACAGUGAGGAGGAGAGAAAGAUAGACACCUGCAGACCUGCUUUACCGCCUGUGAAGCGACUCCCCUGCAGGUGGGGAGCCGGGGAUCGAACCGGGAUCCUUCUGCCGGUCCUUGUGCUUUGCGCCACCUGCGCUUAACCCGCUGCGCUACAGCCCGACUCCCCUUAGAAUAAU